GAUGAACGCUGGCGGCGUGCUUAACACAUGCAAGUCGAACGGGAAAUCUUUCAUUGAGCCUUCGGUGGAUUUGAUUUAUUUCUAGUGGCGGACGGGUGAGUAACGCGUGGGUAACCUGCCUUAUACAGGGGGAUAACAGUCAGAAAUGGCUGCUAAUACCGCAUAAGCGCACAGAGCUGCAUGGCUCAGUGUGAAAAACUCCGGUGGUAUAAGAUGGACCCGCGUUGGAUUAGCUAGUUGGUGGGGUAACGGCCCACCAAGGCGACGAUCCAUAGCCGGCCUGAGAGGGUGAACGGCCACAUUGGGACUGAGACACGGCCCAGACUCCUACGGGAGGCAGCAGUGGGGAAUAUUGCACAAUGGGGGAAACCCUGAUGCAGCGACGCCGCGUGAAGGAAGAAGUAUCUCGGUAUGUAAACUUCUAUCAGCAGGGAAGAUAGUGACGGUACCUGACGAAGAAGCCCCGGCUAACUACGUG
rnacentral:rRNA from 1 species